GACGAACGCUGGCGGCGUGCCUAAUACAUGCAAGUCGAGCGAACUUGCGGGAGCUUGCUCCCAAAAGUUAGCGGCGGACGGGUGAGUAACACGUGGGCAACCUGCCUAUAAGACUGGGAUAACUUCGGGAAACCGGAGCUAAUACCGGAUCAUUCUUUUCUACGCAUGUAGAAAAGCUGAAAGACGGUUUACGCUGUCACUUAUAGAUGGGCCCGCGGCGCAUUAGCUAGUUGGUGAGGUAACGGCUCACCAAGGCCACGAUGCGUAGCCGACCUGAGAGGGUGAUCGGCCACACUGGGACUGAGACACGGCCCAGACUCCUACGGGAGGCAGCAGUAGGGAAUCUUCGGCAAUGGACGAAAGUCUGACCGAGCAACGCCGCGUGAGUGAAGAAGGUUUUCGGAUCGUAAAGCUCUGUUGUUAGAGAAGAACAAGUAAGAUAGUAACUGAUCUUGCCUUGACGGUAUCUAACCAGAAAGCCACGGCUAACUACGUGCCAGCAGCCGCCGUAACAC
rnacentral:rRNA from 1 species